GCUCUCUGGAGGAGAGGCUAACAUUCCACAGGGUGAGCUUUUCUUUUGUUGAGGAGACAUUCACAUAACAUACAGCUAGGCAUUUUAAAGGAACCAUUAAACAGCCUUUUGUACAUCCACAGCACUGUGUGCCCAUCACAUCUGUCUAAGUGCAUCACCCUGGAAGAAAGCCCACACCCCUGAGCAGUGUCUCCCCAUCCUCUCCCACCCCCACCAUGGGGUGGACUGUAGGAAACAAGAGGCGGGGCCACGGUGCAUGCGGGUCCUGCUCAGACACCUGCGGUGUUUCUUUCCUGGGCGCCUGGCCUUGCUCCACACCCCCUUUUCCUCACUCCCACCACCCAAGGCUCGCACCUCCCUCAGAAGGGAUCAGUAUGAAGUCCCCCCCGCCGUCUCCCCCCCCCCACCCCGGGCUCUGUGUUUAAGAGCAGGCUUCUCAAACUGUCCUGUGAGGGGAGCUCUCGGGGCCAUGUGUUGGUGGAGGCAAAGGGUGGAGUGAUGCUGCCGCAAGCCAAGGAGUGCUGAGGACGGCCAGCCACCACCAGAAGAUGAAGCGGCACAGAAGGACCCUUCACCUCAGAGCCUUCAGGGGCAGCGCGCGUCUGCCAGCACCUUGAGUUUGGACCGCUGGCUUCCAGAACUGAAUCAGCCCCCCCGUAGAUGUUGCUGAAGUUCUGGAAGUGGGCGGAGGCCGUGCGGGGUGAGCGGGCUUCCUCGCUGGGCAGACACAGGCGGGAAAAGACUGAGCCAGAGGGUCCGUGGGCUCCGGCGCACCCUAUCCGCUCCGCGGGUGCCCGCCGCCUCCGGGAUCCCGCCAAGGCUUCCCCGACGCCAUCCCGCUCGCCCUUGUAAACAGGAAGCUGAAUUUUGCCAACAUCGGAUGAACUUGAACUCCAGAAGGACUGCACUCAGCUUGAAAUUCAGGACCUGGGACUUCAAGAGGGUUCUCGGGGGGCCAGACACCCUCUUCCACGGGGUGAGCAGCCCCAACCCGGUGCAGCCUGGGACCCAGCA